rnacentral:lncRNA from 1 species
CCUCGGACGACUUGGCGCUCCGGGACAGCAGCAGACGCCCAAGCUCCGGCAGCGCAGAGCCCCGCCGGGGGCCCGGGGGGCUGGGAGCCGGGGAUCGCGGGGACGGAAGUGGGGGACCGAGUCUCGCGAGCCCGGGCCCUCCUCGCAGCUGGGGCCCCACUGGCGCCCCCGCGGGAGCGCUACGGGAGAGGCGCCUAUGCGGCUGCAGGUUUUAUUAUGGAGCUGUCAAGGUAGAAAGCGCCGCUGGGUUAGAGUCUCCCCGACUGAGCUGGUCACGGCAAGUGGCGUCCAUUGUGGGGGCUCAAAUCCAGGUUGAAGGGUUGCCAGAGUGACGGUUGGAGAACGUGGAGAACUAAGCUGGAGGACACCCGAGUACUCUUAAAGCAAUCCCCAUGGCCAAAAUCAACAGCCGAUUUGGAUACCAUCAAGACACCUGAAACCUUAUCAUGAGCCAGAUGCCAAGGAAGAGAUUCCAGGAGGAUCCCAAGGACCCCCUGUUGCAGCCGUGUUGAGGCUGAUGCUCAGGAGGACCCCAACUGUCACAAGCAACACCUGUUGAACACAACCACCCACCGGAGGACAGAUCAAGAAGCUGUCACAGAUGGCAGAAGAAAACCUAAGGAAAGCGAGACAGCCAGUCACAAUGAGUAAUUUAAUAGUAGCUACGAUAGUGAUGAUCACCAUUGCCUCUGCAGAUGCGGAUCCUGACUCCUAUGAGAAGUAGCUCACCGUGACAAAGGUGCCUUUGCUUUUAUCAAUUUGCAAAUCAAAAAAGGGGGACAUGUUGGGAACAGCCCCCCCACCCCAAAAAAAAACAUGGCCAUAAACUGGCCCCAAAACUGGCCAUAAACAAAAUCUCUGUGGCACUGUGAUGUGUUCAUGAUGGCCAUAACGCCCACACUGGAAGGUUGUGGGUUUACCAGAAUGAGGGCAAGGAACACCUGGCCUGCCCAGGGUGGAAAACUGCUUAAAGGCGUUCUUAAACCACAAACGAUAGCAUGAGCAAUCUGUGCCUUAAGGGCAUGUUCCUGCUACAGAUAACUAGCCAGACCCACCCCUUUAUUCUGGCCCAUCCCUUCGUUUCCCAUAAGGGAUACUUUUAGUUAAUCUAAUAUCUAUAGAAACAAUGCUAAUGACUGGCUUGCUGUUAAUAAAUACGUGGGUAAAUCUCUGUUCAGGGCUUUCAGCUCUCAAGGCUGUGAGACCCCUGAUUUCCCACUUCACACCUCUGUAUUUCUGUGUGUGUGUAAUUCCUCUAAUGCUGCUGGGUUAGGGUCUCCCCAACUGAGCUGGUCUUGGCAGGUCCUCAGCAACUUCAGUCCUUCCCUCCUCGGAAGAAAGAAUUCAACUGAGGGGCAUAGAGCAGAAAAAGAGACUGAGGCAAGUUCCAGAAAAGGAAUGGAAGUUUAUUUAAGAAGUCUUAGAACAGGAAUGAAAGGAAGGUGUGCUUGGAAGAGACCCGAGCAAGCACGUGAAGGCUAAAGAGAGAAGGUCAUGUUUGACCAUGAUCCUAGGACUUUUAUAAGCUCCCUUCUUUCCCAUGAUUCCUCCCUGAGGGUGGGUUUUCCUCAUGCCCAGUGCUUUCCUUACCUUUUAGAAUUGAGCAUGUGUGGUGUGUUUAGGGAGUUAUACACAGGCCCAUCUGAGGCUUUCUUCCUUUUUCCAGUGGAGUGUGCCCCCGGAAGAUCAUACUUCACCAUGUUUUGCCUCUUAACAUGCAUGCCCAGGAAGUUGCUUCUCCCUGGGGCCUGCAUUCAAUUAACAUUUUGCUGUUAACAGGUGUGGACUACCAGGAAAUGGCCUCUCCCUGGCGCUGUGAAAUUAGCAUUCUUAGAGAGGCAAUUCAGUAAUUGCCGAACCACCACCCAACAUUUUCAGUGGAUUAAGGGGGAGCCCUAUCCUACCCCGCUCAUGCCUAACUAUCUGUAACACAUUCAAUUGGUUGGGAGACUUAUAAUUUUAUUUUUGGCUUACAAUAAUCAUGAAAUAUUUAGAUAUAUGGUUUGUGGACCCUCACUUGUACUUUUGCCCUGGGCUCUAUAAAUUUUGAGCUGGGCCUGUCUGGUUUUCAUAGAGUUAUGGGUACAAGACACUAUUUUCUUCCUAACUCUAAUGCAUGAAAAAUAAACUGGCAAAGUAAAAUGACAAACAGCAACCAGCAGCUGGCCUCAGUCAAGGAGAAAGCACGGGGAAAAUGGGAGCAUUCUAGAAAAGGAGGCAACCAAGCAUUGCAGCCAAGCUCCAAAGGGCAGUCACCACACCAGCACACAGGAUCCACUUCUUGGGACCUUGGUAAGUGGGAGGCAGUGUGUACCAGUUCCUGUAGACUAGUUCAUGCCCCUCUGUCUCCCCCUUACACAGAGCACUUGCAAAUGCUAGUUCAGGAAUCCAGAGGCCUGGCUGGAGUCUAAGCAGUGAGUAGCUUGGCAAAGAGCUGCUAUGCUGAAACUGCAGUUUUCAGUGGAAACUAAAGAUAGGAUAGACAUAAGAUAUAUUGGUAAAUAAUAAAGUCUCAUACAAUGUUAGGAGCUAUUAGGAUUGAAUUGGGUCCCUGCAAAUUCAUAUGUUGAAUUGCUAGCCCCCAAUGUGACUCUAUGUGGAGAUAGGGCUUAUCAGGAGAUAGUAAAGAUUCAGUGAGGUUAUAAGGUGGGGCUCUAAUCCAGUAGGACUGGAGUCCUUAGAAGAGAUGGGAAAGAGAUAGGGGAGACCUCCCUCUGCACAAGUACACCAGCAAGAAGGUUACCAUCUGCAAGACAGGGAGAGAGGCCUCAUCAGACAGAAUCCUGUCGGCACCUUAACCUCAGACUUCCAGCCUCCAGAACUGUGAGAAAAUAAGUGUAUUGUUUAAG